rnacentral:rRNA from 1 species
UGAAGCUUCGGCAGAUUUAGCUGGUUUCUAGUGGCGGACGGGUGAGUAACGCGUGGGUAACCUGCCUUAUACAGGGGGAUAACAGUCAGAAAUGACUGCUAAUACCGCAUAAGCGCACAGGACCGCAUGGUCCGGUGUGAAAAACUCCGGUGGUAUAAGAUGGACCCGCGUUGGAUUAGCUUGUUGGUGGGGUAACGGCUCACCAAGGCGACGAUCCAUAGCCGGCCUGAGAGGGUGAACGGCCACAUUGGGACUGAGACACGGCCCAGACUCCUACGGGAGGCAGCAGUGGGGAAUAUUGCACAAUGGGGGAAACCCUGAUGCAGCGACGCCGCGUGAAGGAAGAGGUAUCUCGGUAUGUAAACUUCUAUCAGCAGGGAAGAUAGUGACGGUACCUGACUAAGAAGCCCCGGCUAACUACGUGCCAGCAGCCGCGGUAAUACGUAGGGGGCAAGCGUUAUCCGGAUUUACUGGGUGUAAAGGGAGCGUAGACGGACUGGCAAGUCUGAUGUGAAAGGCGGGGGCUCAACCCCUGGACUGCAUUGGAAACUGUUAGUCUUGAGUGCCGGAGAGGUAAGCGGAAUUCCUAGUGUAGCGGUGAAAUGCGUAGAUAUUAGGAGGAACACCAGUGGC